GGAAUAUUGGACAAUGGGCGAAAGCCUGAUCCAGCAACGCCGCGUGGAGGACGAAGGCCCUCGGGUUGUAAACUCCUGUCAGGUGGGACGAAAAGGCUGUGGUUAAUACCCAUAGCCUCUGACGGUACCACCAGAGGAAGCCCCGGCUAACUCCGUGCCAGCAGCCGCGGUAAUACGGAGGGGGCGAGCGUUAUUCGGAAUUAGUGGGCGUAAAGGGCGCGUAGGCGGCCUGAUAAGUCAGGGGUGAAAUCCCUCGGCUCAACCGAGGAAUUGCCUUUGAAACUGUCAAGCUCGAGGCCGGGAGAGGGUAGUGGAAUUCCGAGUGUAGCGGUGAAAUGCGUAGAUAUUCGGAGGAACACCAGUGGCGAAGGCGGCUACCUGGACCGGUUCUGACGCUGAGGCGCGAAAGCGUGGGGAGCAAA
rnacentral:rRNA from 1 species